UAUCUAUUUAUCCCGGGGGGAUAUACUGGAACAGAUCGAUGAUAUCAUGCUUAAGGGGGUUACAGCAGAGAACAUCAAGGGACUUAAACUGGCAAUUUUCAGGUUACAAAUCUGUCGUUAAUCACCUUAGCCAUGCUCUUAACCACUACACUAUGACGCUGCCUCCUUUAUGGCAUUUAAUAUUUCUUUUUGCAUUUUCUGAGCAUAAAUUUGGCUACUCUAAAUAUUUAAAAUAACUAUUAACAUAAAAUCUAUAUUUUUGGCUUUCCAUACAUUUUCCAUUAUCCUCAUAACUUUCAGCUCCUGGUUACAAAAUACUGCAGCCAUCAAGCCCUCGGCUCCUCUCAGCCUUCUUACUCUCCCCGUCGCUUCUUUGCAUCACUUCGAAGAUCCCUUGUCGACGCGAACCGCUAAUGAAGAUUCAAUUUUCAGCGUCAAGUAUGCCGGAAAUCAGGAUGGAGCCCAAGAGAAAGGGGCGACAGCGAGUCACGCUUCUGCCUGCGCAGGGACAGCGAGAGCGCACUGACCGCUACGAGAUAUGGGGAGAGGAGAAGAGCGAGAUUAUUGAGAGCAGAAAUGUGCAGGCAUGCAGAAAGGCAAGUCUUACCCAGUAGUGUAGCGACGCAGGCAAGGAUGGCCAGCAGGGCGGCAGUGCUGAGUCCAGCUCUAGCACCCCCCCUCAGGCAAGGGCAAAUGGACACGGUGACUGUCCCAGUACUGGUCAGACCCGAGAAACUGUCUUUCAGGACCAGGGGCACUUGCAGUGUGAAUGGGGAAGAUGCCGAGCGAGACAGGGGUAUC